rnacentral:rRNA from 1 species
GGAGGCAGCAGUGGGGAAUAUUGCACAAGCACCGAAAAGCCUGAUGCAGCCAUGCCGCGUGUAUGAAAAAGGCCUUCGGGUUGUAAAGUACUUUCAGUUGUGAGGAAGGGGGUGUCGUUAAUAGCGGCAUCUCUUGACGUUAGCAACAGAAGAAGCACCGGCUAACUCCGUGCCAGCAGCCGCGGUAAUACGGAGGGUGCGAGCGUUAAUCGGAAUUACUGGGCGUAAAGCGCAUGCAGGUGGUUCAUUAAGUCAGAUGUGAAAGCCCGGGGCUCAACCUCGGAACUGCAUUUGAAACUGGUGAACUAGAGUACUGUAGAGGGGGGUAGAAUUUCAGGGGUAGCGGUGAAAUGCGUAGAGAUCUGAAGGAAUACCAGUGGCGAAGGCGCCCCCCUGGACAGAUAAUGACACCCAGAUGCGAAAACGUGGGGAGCAAAAAGCACUAGAUCCCUGGUAGUCCACGCCGUAAACCAAGUCUACUUGGAGUGUGGCCUUGAGCCGGGGCUUUCCCAAACAACCCGUUAACCAAACCCCCUGGGGAGUACGGUCGCAAGAUUAAAACUCAAAUGAAUUGACGGGGGCCCGCACAAGCGGUGGAGCAUGUGGUUUAAUUCGAUGCAACGCGAAGAACCUUACCUACUCUUGACAUCCAGAGAAGCCAGCGGA